CCUCCUUUACUUGGUGGGGAUAAGGGAUGUGGUCCCACUCCCUGUUAUGAGUGGCGGCAGAGGGAACGGGCUACAGCCAUCCCAACGUCAUGUCUUCAGCUCCAGUAGUUUCCUGUCUGCUGGUUCUGUCCUCAAACGCUGGGACAUGG
ensembl:snoRNA